rnacentral:rRNA from 1 species
AGCAGCCGCGGUAAUUCCAGCUCCAAUAGCGUAUAUUAAAGUUGUUGCAGUUAAAAAGCUCGUAGUUGAAUUUCGGGGUUCUACCGUUGGUCGGGCUAACCAGUCUGUACUAGCGUGUAGAAUUCCUACCUUCUGGGGAACCAUCAUGUUAUUAAUUUAGCGUGGUGGGAAACCAGGACCUUUACCUUGAAAAAUUAGAGUGUUCAAAGCAGGCUUACGUCUGAAUACAUUAGCAUGGAAUAAUAAAAUAGGACGGUGGUCCUGUUUUGUUGGUUUCUGAAUCACCGUAAUGAUUAAUAGGGAUAGUUGGGGGCAUUAGUAUUCAAUUGUCAGAGGUGAAAUUCUUGGAUUUAUUGAAGACUAACUUCUGCGAAAGCAUUUGCCAAGGAUGUUUUCAUUAAUCAAGAACGAAAGUUAGGGGAUCGAAGACGAUCAGAUACCGUCGUAGUCUUAACCAUAAACUAUGCCGACUAGGGAUCGGACGAUGUUAAAUUUUAUUGACUCGUUCGGCGCCUUACGG